UGGAAAUCCUUCCAAUGGUGUUGAAGUUCUGUCACGGUCACUCUACAGCAGUCAGUCGUUUCUGUCUCAAGCAGUUUUACCCUGUGUGAUUCCCCCUUUGCCACAUUUCUGACUCAAGAUAAUUGUAUUUUCCUAAUGUAUUUACAUUUUAGAUCUGCUAACCUGCAGGUGCUGGAAUCUAAACUCAAUAAGGUAGGGAGUGAACGAUAAAGUGGUCAUACAUCAAUGUCAAGUAGCACUGAGGUCUGCUGGUGAAACACGAUUUCUCUCUAUCUGAAGAAAUAAGUUUCCAACUCUAUAAAAUAUCAAUAAACUGCUGUAACUCCCAGCGAAGGGAUAUUGAACAGGGAGUAGAUGUAGAUAGUUGAUAAAGAAGAAAAUGUACCAAAGAGGAGAGUUGAAGAAAUGGUGAAUAAGGUAAGGUCACCGAACUAAUAAUACCCAAUGAAUCUUACACUGUAGUGUUUGUAGAGUCUAUGUAUGUUAGAGAGGAUAAUCAGCAAGAAAAGUAAAAGACAAAAAAAUGAUUUUACAUUCUCUGAUGACUUCCUCUUCAAACAUCACACACCUCAGAGCAUCUCGAAAGAGUCUCCAUCUUUAACUUCAAAUGCGGCUCAGUAGUGUGAACUGCUGGGGCCAGUGGGGGAAAUACAUACAUAGACUUGGCAAAUGUAACAUGGUGAGGGAAUCUGUUGGUUCAAAGCAGGAUGUCACGCUGACAAUUAGCUGAGUGAAAAAAAAAAAUCAUGAGAUAAACUGUGUGUAUUUGAAGGUAAUACUUUAAUGUCACACACAAUUUACACAACAAACAAUAUGUACAAAAAGCACAACGAUAUAAAAUACAACAAAGAUGUUCCUAUAAACUACAGUUGAGCAAUAUAAUAUUACAUCAAGUUAUAAUUAGACAUAAUGUUUCACUUUAAUUCAUUAAUAUUCAGGUAACAGUUCAAAUGUUUCUGUAAGAUGGUGGUUGAAUAGUUACAUCUCCACGCUGGCAUUAAACCAUCUCUAGGGUGUUAAACACAAGGACAUAUAUCUAUCCUUCAGCCCCUCCCCUCUGAGUGCCUGAGUCCUGAUAUUUAUUCACAGUAGAGAUAAUUAGAGGAGGAGGAGCUGGAGGCAGCCAUAUGGACACAACUGCUGCUCAGCUCUGUCCAUUAUUUGUAUAAAGGUCUUAAUAAACACCUUUAUAGGCUCUCUACUUAUGCUAGCAUGAACACAUAAUAAGAUAUCAAACUGUGAGAUUGCUAAAUGACAAAUUUUUGACAUAAUUAUAAUUCAGUAUAAAAGUCAAAUAAAAAUCAGAGCACUGUCGCCCUGGCCUGUGAGUUUCAAUAUGCAAUGAUUUCAUUGGAACUAUUGUAGUAAGAGGAAAGUAUUAAUGCAAGAAUAGGGGAGUUCAGUGGUAUGAACAAGCUAAUCAUUGCCUAAAGUUAAUGGAUGAACGAGCAGAGUUAUCUGCCUCCCACUUCCAGCUAAAUAUGGGACCCUGUAGCUGGACAUCAGGCUAUUAGAGUGAAAAAUAUCCACUCUUUUUUUGCCCUUUUUAUCAAUUUGUUCUCUGCUAGUCUAUCUAAAAAAAACAAAAACAAAAAAAACACACAACCGGGGGCUGGAUGGUAAGCCAAGUUUGGAGGUCCUAUUAUGUAGAAUAGACAAGCGGAGAAAGGUUUUUGUAAACACUUCAGCAGACAGAUCCCUGCUGGGCAACUUUGAAGUUGUGUGUUUACAGUCCAGUAGCCAAACAGCACAAACAGAACUGCUCUGUGAUCGGUGAUUGAAAAUAACCAUCUGUGCCCAUCCUCACUAAACUCUCUGUGGAGGAAUAAGAAGGGUAACACUUUAUUUGACGCCUGUCUCUAUAACGCAUUAUAAAUAUAUAAUGCGUUAUAACCACGUAAUAGCACUGUAUAACUAUAGUCAUAAACACCCAUAAAUGAUGAUAACAAUGAUCAUAACACAUUAUAAAGCAUUUUAUCAUGACUUACAAGGUCAGGUACUAUAAGGUGUUUUAACUGUUAACAACUCACUGACAAUGCCCACAUAGAUAAUGCAAUGCAACUGUUGUUAAGGGUUAAAACACAUUAUAAUACCUCCCCUUCUAAAUCAUGAUAAAAUGCUUUAUAAUGUGUUAUGAUUAUUGCUAUAAAGCAUUAAAAUAAUUUAUGAGUGUUUAUAACUAUGGUUAUACAGUGCUAUAAUGUGAUUAUAACACAUUAUACAUAUAUUUAUAAUGCAAUAUAGAGAUAGGCAUCAAAUAAAGUGUUACCAGAGGAAGAAACAAAGCAUGGAAGCGGAGAAAGGUGUCAACUUGUGAGGGACAAAGGCUAAAAAAAAAAAAAAAACACCCACUUUUUAUUUUAAAAAAUCUAAGUUACAUGAAUUUAAAUGAUAUGAAAUCAACCAUGUCAUUUGCCAGGCUUUAAGAGCUCUCUCCUGUUGUGUACCUCGCUCUAGUCAUUGGUCUAUUUGUGGAUCAGUCUACUUCAGUAAAAUACUAAUGGAUUGUGAGUCUGGCAAUCACUGACCCGUUAUCUGUAGAGUAAAAAUUGCACUGCUGGUCACCUUCAAUGAUGAGCUGGUGAAGAGAAGCAGUAGGAGAGAUAAGGUUGUGAUUGCUGGCACCCUGUAUAAGUGGAUAAUUAGGGGUAUACAGCAUGUCAUGAGUCAUUUCACUGUAACCCAUAUGCUGAUUAGUGCUGAUUUAUGCCUCAUUAUGUUGAUUUAUAAAGGAGCCAGAGGAGAGCUGCUGACUGACUGUAGACACAGAGAGUCAGCUCCAAUGGAGAGUGUGGUGUCAGAGUGAUUCUCUACUGAUGACUUGUUUAAUUUUCUAAAAAUCUUUCUAUAUUUUAGGGGUUAAAUUUCAUAAAAGUUUAAACUGAUCCAUUCAAGCGUCCUCCAAAUGAUCCUGAAUAUUUCAGGGUAUAAACAGCAAACAGUAUCCACUUAACAGUACUGCUGGGCGUUUCCUGAACCAUAACAUUGAUUUCCUUCUUUCCAGUCAGUGGUCUCUCUUAAUUGCAGCAUGUAGUGUAAAUUUCAGACUGAGGUAAUCCAUCACAGUAAACAUGCUGUCAGCAAAACAUUUUUUUUUCCUUUGUCACACCCUAAUUAGUCUGUAUGCCAACUCAUUUUGGUGAAUGGGCUUUUCAAACAUUUCCUCGUAGUGCUGUUACAGACAUUAAAUUACAAAAAUACAAAAAAAAAAAAGAAAAAAAAAGAAAAAAGUAACACUUUACAAUAACCAUAACUUAUAAAUGGUAAAUAUACCAUUUAUAAAUGGUAAGCAGAUAGUUUAUUAAUAGUCAUGAUUUAAAAAUGAUAUAUAGACCAUUAAUAAAUUGUAAAUUUUACAAUUUUAAAAACCUAACCCAAACCCUAACCCUAAAUUUAGAAUAACCAUCUUAGUAAUGUUUAUAGGCAGUUUAUAAACCCCUUCUUAAUCAUUUACAAAGUGCUACUGACACAAAUUUUAAUCUAGAUGUUUUACAUUUACUAAACCUUUAAUAAACAGUCCAUUAAUAAUUUAAUGAAAAUUAUUAAUCAUAGUUUAAUUGCUUGUAAACGGUAAAGUAACUAUUAACUUACAUUAAUAAACUAUUUAUUUGCCAUUUAUUUUCUGCACCAUUAUACAAAUAAAUACUUUAAAAAUCAUGAAAUGUGAUUUCCUGGAUUUUUUUUUUACACUGUGUCUCUCACAUUUGAAGUGUUCCUAUGAUGAACAUCACAGACCUCUCAUAUCUUUUUAAGUGGGACAACUUGCAGAAUCGGUGGCUGCCAAAUACUUUUUUGCCCCACUGUUUGUCCUUUCCUCUGACACUUAAUCCAUCCCAGUGUAAAAUAUGUGAUCUGUAUUUGACUGUGGUGUUAGGUGUGAACACUUCUCAGUGACUGUGGCCAAGCUGGUCCCAGCAGACAAACUGUUUAACGGAUCAGGAGCUUCUGUUUCUAGCUGAUGCGGUGCAGCAUCUAACUUAUUCUUAUUCUUUGACUGUCUGCAGAUAAAAUGUUGCCUCUCACUGGCUGCGCAUACAUCUGCAUGCUUUUAUGUGUAUAUGUGUGUGAACUGCUGCUCAUUUCUAUGUAAAGUCCUUGAAUAUCAUUGGUGUACUUCAAGCACCCCCUUCUCCUGUUAGGCUAACAGGAACUGGCUCUUCAAUAAAUUGCUUUUCAAGUAAUUUUGCAGACUUUUAUUUUUCUGCCUCUUGGACACAGAUUUAUAUCAAACCAUGUAUUUUAUUUGUCUCUCUGUCUUUGUCUUCUCACACCAGUCUCUUGACUUUCGUCUCUUGCUCUGGAUUGCAGACUCUGCUGUUUUAAUGGCAUUGUUCUCAGAGAAAUAGAUCCUUUUUUUAGCUUUUGUCCAUUCACUGUCCCUGUUUUCACAAUUUCUGUGUUAUAAGCUUUACAAUGCAAGAGCAGUGCAUCAGGAGAGGUUUACUGCUUCUUCUUAUUAGUGGCUCUAUUCCGACUGUGGGCAGAGCAAAAACAGAAAGAAAAAUGAAAGACUGUUAAGGUUUUGAGAAUAUUUGCUCUUCCCUUGGGGUUGUGUUGCACAUAUUUCAAUAAAUUGUCCUUUUUGUCUGUCUGUGCUCAGCUUGGUGCACACACUUGUAGAAGUCUUAAUGGGCAGGAUUUCAAUUUUGCACUUGAGCAGUGUCCAAGCAAGUAAACAGGAAACUAAAUCCCUACAGUCAUUCAGCAAAGAUAAGAAUAUUCAGACAAGUGGCCCAUCUGCCAAGAUCAGAACAAUUGGAGCUACCCUGACUUGUGAUGAAAGAAAGGGAAAGCAGCCAAACAGCUGCACAGUAUCAUUACAGAGGAUCUAGCUGGAUAUAGAUGCUUGAGAAGACCCUUCUAUACAAAUCCUGUAGUUUGCUGCAAUUAGCUUUGAUCCUGUUACAUUCAAUUCAGUUGUUGCCUUAAUCUGACUUUAAUC